rnacentral:rRNA from 1 species
UACGGGGGGGGCAAGCGUUGUUCGGAAUUACUGGGCGUAAAGGGCUCGUAGGUGGUCAACUAAGUCGGACGUGAAAUCCCUCGGCUUAACCGGGGAACUGCGUCCGAUACUGGAUGACUUGAGUUCGGGAGAGGGAUGCGGAAUUCCAGGUGUAGCGGUGAAAUGCGUAGAUAUCUGGAGGAACACCGGUGGCGAAGGCGGCAUCCUGGACCAACACUGACGCUGAUGAGCGAAAGCCAGGGGAGCAAACGGG